CCGCCCCAGGCCGCGCUGGGGCGAGGACUGUACCGCCCCCCCGCGACGGCCCGGCCCCUGCCCCGCCCGCGGUUAUGCAACGGCCGCGAAAAGUUUGGAUCCUCUGAACCGCUGUGGGACGGCGUGGUUUUAGUCUGGCUCUCGGGUGCGGUACUGGUGAGGGCUGCGCUCGCCGGGAACCCCUCGUAGCCGCCCGGGCCCUGUCAGCGCGAUCCACCCGCCUCUCGCUUCCGUCCCGCACGAAGUUUGCGGAGGCCCUCAGGAGGGUGGUGCUGCGGGCGCCGGGCGGGGCGUGACGGCUGAGCGCGGCGCCCGGCGGUCGCGCGCCUGGCCCGGGCUCGCACCCACGUCCGGAGACCGCGGGGUUCUGCUGUGUGCUCGCCCAGCGGAGCGGAGCGGAGCGGAGCCCGGUGCUCGAGGAACUUGGUGCGCUUCUUGUGACACGCGGAGACGACUUCUGGCGACCACGUCAGCUUUGUUUUUAAGCUGUUGUUCAGGAAACUCAUGUAUUCUGGAAUACAUGUAACUCAUGUAUUCCAGAAUACAUGGCAGUAUUCUGGAAGCAGAAUGACGCUUAAAAGAGCAUAGUAGCUUCAGAGUGUAAUUUAGUGAUGCUUUGGCAAUAGGGCCAUGUAACGGGGGGGGGGGGAAGACGUGAUUGAGGACGUGUCGUACAGCUGCCUUGUGAAUACCUGAGAAAAGAUUCAUCCCUGUGCUGGCAGGUAUGGAUUUAAUCAAGAGCCGUAUUGCAAAUCUCCCCAGCUCACCCUCUGGUGAUACUGCAGAUACAGCUGUGAGGCUGCUUCCAUUCCAGCUGCCUCUUUGCAGCCCAUAGUGUAUAUACCAGAAGCCAAAGCUGUGAUCAGAAUGCACUCCUGAGGCUUUCUGCAAUGUAAAUGUCAUUCAUACAUUUUUUUUGGUGAAUUUUGCCAUCUAUUGUCAUUUUAUUCUCAUAACAAUUAAAAUAAAAUUAAAAAAGCCUUUUUUGUGUGGAAUAACUUUUGAAUAAUAACGAGAAAAAAAUUGCUUCAACUCAAUAACUGCAUCCAUAAGGAAUAAUGACAGUAAUGUUUCAAAAUCGGUGUUGCUUUUUGUAAUAGGAAGCAUACAGUUCCUGUAUGACUACACACACAAAGAUAUCCCAUGUUGGCUAUACUAACAUAGAACUUUAUUUUAGUAAUGUUUGGUUUUUUUUUGUUUGUUUUUUUUUUUUUUCCAUUUUAUUUCUGCAGCUUGGACAGUCUCUAAGCUAUUCUGAUUUGUAAGAACAUCUCCCCCUCCUCAGUAGUCAGAGAGAAAGCUUUCAGGCCUCUGUAUCCUUUAGUAGAGACACACCCAUCUAUCUGCCCAUUACAUUCCUCUCCUGAUGAUAUGCCUAUUCAAGACAAGGCUCUGACAACCUCCUUCAUGGUGUCAUCUCAUCUACGUUAAUUAGACCACUUCCAGAAGACAGGAUUGCAUCUCAUGAAAACAAGUAACUUCCUUCUUUUGGCAAAAGAUAGGAUGUGACCACUGGCACUUAAAGGAAGUGAUUCAAUACAGUCAGGUCCUCGGGAGACAAUGGCAUUUUGCUGGGUGUGGGAUUAAGUGAUAAAGGAACAAAAAUGAUGUAAAAAGCUUUCUUAUCAUUACUUCUUUCUUCUAAUUACAGUGUCAUGCACUGUUAAAAAAUAAGAGCAUAACAUUAUCUCAAUUACACGUGCUGUUCACUGUUUUUGAAUUGUACAGACAUUUUCUUACACAACUGGAGGAUUUAUAACAGUAUAGUACUUUUGCUAUAACCUAGUUGUAGUACAUCUUCUAGUGGCAAAUUCUAUCUUACUCAAGUGCAAAGCCAAGCAAACAGAUCAGAAGAAAUAGGUGCGCUUCCAAAUGUAUGAUUAGAUAAUGAGCACCUAUUGGUUUAAAGAAUAAAUGCCG
ensembl:lncRNA